rnacentral:tRNA from 1 species
CGGGAUGUGGGCCAGCGGCCAGGCCACCGCAUUUGGGAUGCGGUUAGCGGGGGUUCGUUCGAGUCCCUCCGUCCCGA